GCAAGUGCUUGGAUUGGUUGACGCCGACGUUGCCGUUGCCGCCGACGCAGCUGUCGAACAGUUAAAAAAUACUUGUUUUGUGUUGAUUUUACGUGCAUUCUGUUAAAACUUGAAAAAAUACAAACUCUUUUCAAAAUUGCUCAUCUGUGUGUUAACUCACUAUUGAGAGCUGAAGUUUCGCACAACAUUUGAGUGACAGCGAUAUCGCAGCGACGUAACAGUACAGUACAUACGUUAACAGCGAAUCAACAACCGUUCACACCGCUAACAUCAGCAAUGACACAAACCCAGCACACAACGCGCAGUUGCAGCAGCAGCAGCAGUAGCAAUGAUUUAAAGCAUGCGCAGCAGCGACGCCGCCGUCAAAUGUCAAGGCAAUUUAAUAUAGUGCUCCUAGUACUGCUGCUGCUGAACAGCUGGAUGGGAACAGUUGCAGGCGCUGCAACGGCGCAGUCGCGUUUCUUUUAUACGGCUGCAGAGACACAGCAACAAACACAGACAAGCGAUCCGGCUGCUGCCGAAGUCGCCGCAGAGGCAACCAGCUGCUGCCCGAGCGCAACCGAUGAGCCUGUAACGCUUACGUCGGAUUUGGGCAAUAUAACAGCUGGCUAUGAUGGAACAGACGGCUCCGCCGAGUCCAAGGAGAUCUUUAAGCGCAGUGUGAAACGUCGCGUAAAGGAUGCGGUGUCGGCAAGCUGCUCACCGCAGCCAACCAUUGUGGAACUGCUGCCGUUAGCGAGAGAGGCGGACGAGGAGACCUCUGUCAAUGUGCAUUAUCGGCCGCAGUGUACGCGAAUCAAUAGGUGCAAUGGAUGCUGUGGUGUCGCCCUCUCGUGCCAGCCGACGCAGACGGAGAUGGUGGAGAUGUGCGUAAAGAGAACGCACGUAGAGAUGCCCGGCAAGGUGACCUGUGUCAUUGUGACUGUGGAGAAGCAUUUGGCGUGCAAGUGCGAUUGCCGUAAAAAGCCCGGCGAUUGCAAUCCGUACCAGGAGUACCGCAAAGAUCUGUGCCGCUGCGAGUGCACCAAUACGGAUGCGCGCGACAAGUGCCUGCAGCAUUCGGAUCUCAAGUAUUGGGAUCCUGCCAACUGCACCUGCGCCUGUCAGCACAAUCAAAGCUGCACCACCGGCACUGACUUCGAUGAGGCGCUAUGCAAAUGCACUGAUGUGAGUGACGCCCCCGCCUCCGUGCUCGACCCCGCCACCGACAUACCACCCACAACUGAUUUAUAGAUUGAUUGAUAGAAUCAUUAACUUAACGCGGUUUCGGUUUCGGUUCCGGUUCCGGUUCCUGUUUCGGUUGCGGUUCUGCACCUGGUUGUGGUUUCUGGUUGUUUCUUAUUUAUUUUUUUUUGGCUGGUUAAUGCGAUCGGCAUCUGGCA
rnacentral:misc_RNA from 1 species